UCGAUUUAACUCUAUGUAUAGUCUGAGCAAAGUCAAAGUAUGCUUUAUAAAUCUCAGCAAUCUAGGAUAGAAACCGUGUUUAGUGCUCAAAACAAGAACCUAGUCCAGUAAAUUACACUAUUCUGAUAAGUUACACUAUUAUUAUUGGCAUAAAUGAUUUUAAUAACAUGAGACGAAUUGCCAUAUUUUUCUUCAGACUCUCUGUAUAAAAUGUUGUAGGGUAGCAAAAUAAAAAUUCGCAUAUUAGUUUUUUAAAUGAAAUAUAUUUCAUGGAACCCGUAGCGUUUCUUAGCUGUUGUAUAUAAAAUUUAUACAAAUAGAUUAUUAAUUCAAUAUAAUUUCACUAAUAAUUCAAUAUAAUUUUUUUUAUUACAAUAAUUUCAUAGGUCCUAUAAAUCGUUUCACAUCUCUCGCUCAUAUUAUCCAUUAGCUAAAUUCGUUACAACUAUUUCUCUUGGGACAAUAAUUGGCACCAUUUCUCUAAAUAUAUUAUAGGACAGAUUUACAGUAUGCUUCACGAAAGUUGGAAAUGUGGUGACAUUGUACUUUGUCUCUUUCCCCUCUAAAGCAUAAAGCUUGUACAAAUCGUUCUAUUUGAAGAAGACCGUUUGACUAUGUGUGUAUUGACUACACGUUUACACAUUGUAUUAGUGUGCGUGGCGCUCAGUUUCGACCGCGAUGCGGCUUACGUUACGCACACAAAUGUGUUAACGCAUAUCGAUACACUCACUACUUCAACCAAAGGUGAACGGUCGUCGUGAAAUGGAACAUUUAUGCUAGGAGUAGCUAAUCCAAUAGUCAAACUGUUAAAUUCGAACUUAUGUCUUUGGGGCGUCAGGCUGAGAACUAUAAGAGCUUAUUUUGACUUUACUCAGAUUGUAUGUUGUCUUGUUUUAACUGUAUCUUUAGUCUGAGCCUGAACUGUAUCUUUAUAGAUAUUGCUCAGGCUUAAGAUACUGUUAGAACGAGACAGCGUUAUAUCGCUGGCAUAAAUCUGUCUCGUUUUAACUGAAACCUAGUCUGAGCAAAGUCAAAGCGCGCUCUAUAGAUUUCAACCUCAGCUUCAAGCGGUUUCGAUUCAACUGAACAAUUGCAACUUUCAUGAAGCUCACAUCUUAACAAAUUAUGUUACGUCGUUUAAUGUUCGUUCCAUCACAAGUUAGAUUUUUGGAAAAUGAAAAAAUUGUGGAAGAGAUAACUUGUGAGGUAAGAAACGCUAAAAGAAACUAAAAAAUUGAGAUUCGAAUACAGAGUAUAGUUUCAGUUGAACUAAUUAAAACAGUCAAAUAAGUAUAAACCGCAACUUACAAGAUAAAAUUCAGAAAUAUGUUACAGCGAGUUUCCAGUUAGACCUUUAGUAUGAAAUACAUUUCACGAACGUUGAUAGAAUUUGAGUGAAACACUUUAACGUUAAAAAAGAUGGACCUUAACUGCCUGGUUUUAAACCUCAUAAAGGCAACGCUCCAAGUGAAAAAUUUGCGAUAUUAAAAUCGGUGAUACUGUACUUUUGACUUUAAGUUAAAGGCUUAUAGGUUUUUUUUUACACUAACGUUAUACCCCUCGAAUUCUAUCAACGUUGGUGAGGUGUAUAAUUUCAUACUACACAUUCGGGUCGGAUGUGAGAUGGAUAUACGUGUCCGGAAUCUGGAUAUCAGUGUUCGGAACCGGAUAUCAAUGUCAGGAAUCCGGAUGUACACAGCGAUUAGAAGAGUGGCAACAGAUAAGCGUUUCUUUUGCGCGGAUAAGCUAGUUUUUAAGCGCGUGUACGCUCGUCUUUUGUCACACGCGCAUCUCGUAUGAGCAUGAAAGAAAUACCUACUACUUCGACUGCUGAGUGAGAGCGAGAGGUCGUACACCACUGGGGAUCCGAUCUCUCGCUCUAAUUUGUUAGUUGGAGUGAGAUAGCGAUAAGAAGGUAUUUUCUUCGAAUAGAGUACCUGAUCCAGCUGUAUUAUGAAUAUGCAUGGCGUAUGGAAACUCGCCCGUAUUGAGUAUAAAGAAUCAAACUAAUAAACAUUCACUGGUAAUCUCCACGGUUGCAAGUGUAAUAGUCAUUAUUAUAAGCAGUUAAAAUAAUAAAAAAUAAAUUAUAAAUCGUAAAAAGUAACAAAUAAAUAGGUCGGAAGUAUAUAAAAAUAAAUCUUUAUAAAUACUUAUUAACUAACUAAAUUGCUAAAUACAACUCAACCAUUACUAUUUUGUGAGACGGCAAAGUGAAAAUUACUUAAACUAGUACAGUAUGAUUUGUUUAAAAAAUUACAAAAAAAAAAUUAUAAUUACAAUAAACUAGAAUAGAGAAUCAAUGAAUAAAAAGCUGUACAAUUUUAAAUAAGUUUCUUUCUGAUGAAGAGGAAGAAGAGAGGAAGUUCUGCGUUUUCAAGUUUCCUUACUCGAAGGCUGCCAACGGAACCCUAUAACUAAGCCUCCGCUCUCCGUCCGUCUGUCUGUCUGUCAGUGAGCUGUAUCUCAUGAACCGUAAUAGGUAGAGAGUUGAAGUUUUCAUAACGGCGCCAUGCAAUUUAAAAGUACAUAAUGUUAUACCUAGUACGAAGGUAGGGAACUCUUCACGUGUGAGUCCAACUCGCACUUGACCGCUUUGUUUUUAUUAUAAUAAAUAAGUAAUUGUCACUUUUCCGUCUACUUUCAUUAAAAUUGGGUUGCUAAUUAAUUCUAAUUGUAAAUAAGAAUUAAAUACAUUGUGUCCAACUAAAUCUAUAGAUGUACAAUAAUACGGAAUACAUAUGUUAAAAGCCACGUUUGUGAUUUACAUAAUUAAACUAUAUAUUACAAAAGGCUUAUUUACUUAUCGGCGACCUAUUAUACAUAAUACCAUCGACUUCGUGUUAGUAGAAAAAAAAAAUCAGAUAAAAGCGUAAGUUAUUUAAUUAAAUACUGCGUUUGGAAUGCGUCACAAUAUAAUUAAAUAGGCAAUCUCAGUCGGAAUUUUUUAAUUAAUUUAUUUUCGGCCCUGGAUGCAAGUCCUUUAAGGCUCAGGAAAUUUUCUUUUUCAAAGAGACAGAUUAAAAAUUAGAUGACCAGCA